UCAUUGCAUGGCACAGAUCACAUUGGUCUU
rnacentral:sRNA from 1 species